rnacentral:rRNA from 1 species
UACGUAGGUGGCAAGCGUUGUCCGGAAUUAUUGGGCGUAAAGCGCUCGUAGGCGGUUCGUUGCGUCGUGCGUGAAAGACCCCGGCUCAACUGGGGAGGGGCGUGCGAUACGGGCGAACUGGAGGCCAGUAGGGGGAUGCGGAAUUCCGGGUGUAGCGGUGGAAUGCGUAGAGAUCCGGAGGAACACCGGCGGCGAAGGCGGCAUCCUGGACUGGUCCUGACACUGAGGAGCGAAAGCGUGGGGAGCGAUCCGG